ensembl:lncRNA
GGUGCCCGGCGCCGCUGCAGAGACUGAUCCCGGACGGCGGCGACGCGGCCCGGCAGGUGUUCCGUGGGGGAGGAGACCCGGUUGUUCUGGAGGCGGCUGCCCAGCAGGACGGGCCCUUCCGCGGCGGAGACGCCGGACCCUGGGCUCACAGGCGCCCGCGAUCUCCUGACCCUGCCGCUGCUGGUGUUUCUCGCGGAGAACCCGGGUGCGCUCAGGGGGCUUCUCCAAGCCCAACAUGCCCGCGCUGUGGCGCUCGCACAGGGGGCCCGGGUCACCAGGAGCUUCUUCCAGGAGCGGCUCGGGGACUUGUCCUGCCCCGGUGGAGAGGUACUGCGCCACGCACGCGCCCCCGUUCAAAGCGCUGCUCGUUCUGGACCGCGCUCCCCGCCGCCCUGGCAACCUGGACGACCUCUCCGACCACGUGCGAGUGGAGGACCUGCCCACGGAUGCCCCAGCCUUCAGCCAGCCAGCCACCCACCCACGGCUUGCUCGCCACGUUCAAGGCCUGCUCUCUGCGGAGGGUCUUCCGUGCCCCGCGGGCGAGGGCCAGGGGCGCAGAGCCGUCCAGCGAGGAGCUGGCGGGGCUGGAGCGGCAGCGGCAGCCGGGGGAGGGCGAGGACAGCUCUCCGGGCACCUGAUCAAGGCCCGAGCACAGGUGGACUCUGGUCUGCGGGGCAUCGGGGACAACGACCCCCAGGCAGAGCACAGCCCCAGCGUCUGCCCGGCCCUGAACGACGUCCUGUGUGCACACUUGCCUGCCUGAGUAAACAGGGACUGGGGUCUGUCCUCACCUACCUCUUGGUUUUGGAAAUCAUGUGGGAAAAAGAAUAUUGUCAGAUUUCAUCGUUUUUCUGCUUAUCUGCAGGCAAAUUGCAGGGAGCAGGGGCCACUCUUCAGUUGCGUGCACAGGUUUCUCAGUGAGGCGGCUUUUCCUGCAGACCGCAAGCCCCAGGUGCCCGGGUUUCCGUGGUUGCAGCACGCGGGCUCCAGAGGAAAGUAAUUGUGGUUAACGGCAAAUCCUAGAUUUGAGCCAGGAAACUUACCCGCAUUUGCC